UAACAAGAAAAACUGGCGCCUGGCACAAUCAACUCUCAGUUUCCUCUUCACUCAGCAGCAUGUUGGGGAUCCCGCGGCUGAUGGGGAACAUACGUCCAGAUUCCGGGCACUGCAGGGUGCCCUCUAUCACUUCCACCUCCAGCAGCAGGUGGUGCAUGGUCCUCAGAAACUCUUCAUUCUCCUCAUAUCCCUCAACUGGCCCU
rnacentral:lncRNA from 1 species